CAGCACCUCAAGUGGUCAGGAGGAUUAUUGGGCCUAAAGCAUCCGUAGCCGGCUCUGUAAGUUUUCGGUUAAAUCUGUAUGCUCAACAUACAGGCUGCCGGGAAUACUGCAGAGCUAGGGAGUGGGAGAGGUAGACGGUACUCGGUAGGAAGGGGUAAAAUCCUUUGAUCUAUUGAUGACCACCUGUGGCGAAGGCGGUCUACCAGAACACGUCCGACGGUGAGGGAUGAAAGCUGGGGGAGCAAACCGGAUUAGAUCCCCGAGUAGUCC
rnacentral:rRNA from 1 species